rnacentral:tmRNA from 1 species
GGGGAUGAUCGGCUUCGACAUUCUUGUACCUUGAUACUACGCGACAUCGUAAAUGCUCACUGAUACGUUAAAAGCGUGAGCAAAAUAUAAAUGCAAAAAAUACAUUUGCACGUGUACUUUCACCUCUUCAAAUGGGUGACUUCGCAUUCGCCCGCGUUUAAUCGCAGCGGCUUACGUACGCAACUUUUCUUGUGAGGAGUGUACGCUAAGGUUAUAACGCAAGAUCGGAGAAAAUGUGUGCUCAACAUUUUCCCUUAACUCUUAGAGCUCGACGUGACUGGGUUUUGUCUACUUCUUACCACCACGUUUAAAUCCCUGAAGUAGACUAUGUGUCGUAGAAGUAUUAUUGAGAGCAUUUAUGGACGCGGGUUCGAUUCCCGCCGUCUCCACAA